UACAGAGGUCCCAAGCGUUGUUCGGAUUCACUGGGCGUAAAGGGUGCGUAGGUGGUGAGGUAAGUCGGAUGUGAAAUCUCCGAGCUCAACUCGGAAAUGGCAUUGGAAACUACCUUGCUUGAGGGUUGGAGGGGGGACUGGAAUUCCUGGUGUAGCGGUGAAAUGCGCAGAUAUCAGGAGGAACACCGGUGGCGAAGGCGGGUCUCUGGGCCGAUACUGACGCUGAGGAGCGAAAGCGUGGGGAGCGAACAGG
rnacentral:rRNA from 1 species